GAUGAACGCUGGCGGCGUGCCUAAUACAUGCAAGUCGAGCGAACAGACGAGGAGCUUGCUCCUCUGACGUUAGCGGCGGACGGGUGAGUAACACGUGGAUAACCUACCUAUAAGACUGGGAUAACUUCGGGAAACCGGAGCUAAUACCGGAUAAUAUAUUGAACCGCAUGGUUCAAUAGUGAAAGACGGUUUUGCUGUCACUUAUAGAUGGAUCCCGCCGCAUUAGCUAGUUGGUAAGGUAACGGCUUACCAAGGCGACGAUGCGUAGCCGACCUGAGAGGGUGAUCGGCCACACUGGAACUGAGACACGGUCCAGACUCCUACGGGAGGCAGCAGUAGGGAAUCUUCCGCAAUGGGCGAAAGCCUGACGGAGCAACGCCGCGUGAGUGAUGAAGGUCUUCGGAUCGUAAAACUCUGUUAUUAGGGAAGAACAAAUGUGUAAGUAACUAUGCACGUCUUGACGGUACCUAAUCAGAAAGCCACGGCUAACUACGUG
rnacentral:rRNA from 1 species